rnacentral:rRNA from 1 species
GACGUAGGGUGCGAGCGUUGUCCGGAUUUAUUGGGCGUAAAGAGCUCGUAGGCGGCUCGUCGCGUCGACCGUGAAAACCCGCGGCUUAACUGCGGGCUUGCGGUUGAUACGGGCGGGCUAGAGUUCGGUAGGGGAGACUGGAAUUCCUGGUGUAGCGGUGAAAUGCGCAGAUAUCAGGAGGAACACCGAUGGCGAAGGCAGGUCUCUGGGCCAAUACUGACGCUGAGGAGCGAAAGCGUGGGGAGCGAACAGG